GUGGGGAAUCUUGCGCAAUGGGCGAAAGCCUGACGCAGCCAUGCCGCGUGAAUGAUGAAGGUCUUAGGAUUGUAAAAUUCUUUCACCGGGGACGAUAAUGACGGUACCCGGAGAAGAAGCCCCGGCUAACUUCGUGCCAGCAGCCGCGGUAAUACGAAGGGGGCUAGCGUUGCUCGGAAUUACUGGGCGUAAAGGGCGCGUAGGCGGACAGUUUAGUCAGAGGUGAAAGCCCAGGGCUCAACCUUGGAAUUGCCUUUGAUACUGGCUGUCUUGAGUACGGGAGAGGUGAGUGGAACUCCGAGUGUAGAGGUGAAAUUCGUAGAUAUUCGGAAGAACACCAGUGGCGAAGGCGACUCACUGGCCCGUUACUGACGCUGAGGCGCGAAAGCGUGGGGAGCAAACAGGAUUAGAAACCCUUGUAGUCC
rnacentral:rRNA from 1 species